UACGAAGGGGCUAGCGUUGCUCGGAGUUACUGGGCGUAAAGCGCACGUAGGCGGCUUUCUAAGUCAGGGGUGAAAUCCUGGAGCUCAACUCCAGAACUGCCUUCGAUACUGGAAAGCUCGAGUCCGGGAGAGGUGAGUGGAACUGCGAGUGUAGAGGUGAAAUUCGUAGAUAUUCGCAAGAACACCAGUGGCGAAGGCGGCUCACUGGCCCGGUACUGACGCUGAGGUGCGAAAGCGUGGGGAGCAAACAGG
rnacentral:rRNA from 1 species